rnacentral:rRNA from 1 species
CCUACGGGGGGCAGCAGUGGGGAAUAUUGGACAAUGGGGGCAACCCUGAUCCAGCCAUGCCGCGUGUGUGAAGAAGGCCCUCGGGUUGUAAAGCACUUUCAGUGAGGAAGAACGCCUGGUGGUUAAUACCCAUCAGGAAAGACAUCACUCACAGAAGAAGCACCGGCUAACUCCGUGCCAGCAGCCGCGGUAAUACGGAGGGUGCGAGCGUUAAUCGGAAUUACUGGGCGUAAAGCGCGCGUAGGUGGCUUGAUAAGCCGGUUGUGAAAGCCCCGGGCUCAACCUGGGAACGGCAUCCGGAACUGUCAAGCUAGAGUGCAGGAGAGGAAGGUAGAAUUCCCGGUGUAGCGGUGAAAGGCGUAGAGAUCGGGAGGAAUACCAGUGGCGAAGGCGGCCUUCUGGACUGACACUGACACUGAGGUGCGAAAGCGUGGGUAGCAAACAGGAUUAGAUACCCGGGUAGUC